UCGACGAUGAAUCUUCUAGCUUGCUAGAAGUGGAUUAGUGGCGCACGGGUGAGUAAUGCAUAGGUUAUGUGCCCUUUAGUCUGGGAUAGCCACUGGAAACGGUGAUUAAUACUGGAUACUCCCUACGGGGGAAAGUUUUUCGCUAAAGGAUCAGCCUAUGUCCUAUCAGCUUGUUGGUGAGGUAAUGGCUCACCAAGGCUAUGACGGGUAUCCGGCCUGAGAGGGUGAUCGGACACACUGGAACUGAGACACGGUCCAGACUCCUACGGGAGGCAGCAGUAGGGAAUAUUGCUCAAUGGGGGAAACCCUGAAGCAGCAACGCCGCGUGGAGGAUGAAGGUUUUAGGAUUGUAAACUCCUUUUGUUAGAGAAGAUUAUGACGGUAUCUAACGAAUAAGCACCGGCUAACUCCGUGCCAGCAGCCGCGGUAAUACGGAGGGUGCAAGCGUUACUCGGAAUCACUGGGCGUAAAGAGUGCGUAGGCGGGGUAAUAAGUCAGAUGUGAAAUCCUGUAGCUUAACUACAGAACUGCAUUUGAAACUGUUACUCUGGAGUGUGGGAGAGGUAGGUGGAAUUCUUGGUGUAGGGGUAAAAUCCGUAGAGAUCAAGAGGAAUACUCAUUGCGAAGGCGACCUGCUGGAACAUUACUGACGCUGAUGCACGAAAGCGUGGGGAGCAAACAGGAUUAGAUACCCUGGUAGUCCACGCCCUAAACGAUGGAUGCUAGUUGUUGCCUUGCUUGUCAGGGCAGUAAUGCAGCUAACGCAUUAAGCAUCCCGCCUGGGGAGUACGGUCGCAAGAUUAAAACUCAAAGGAAUAGACGGGGACCCGCACAAGCGGUGGAGCAUGUGGUUUAAUUCGAAGAUACGCGAAGAACCUUACCUAGGCUUGACAUUGA
rnacentral:rRNA from 1 species